rnacentral:rRNA from 1 species
GGAUUUUUCCUUCAAAGUUUUAACGCCUAAAGAUAGGACAGCGGCGGAUUAGGUUGUUGGCGGGGUAAUGGCCCACCAAGCUUAUGAUCCGUACGGGCCGUGAGAGCGGUAGCCCGGAGAGGGACACUGAGAAACUGGUCCCAGCCCUACGGGGUGCAGCAGGCGCGAAACCUUUACAAUGCACGAAAGUGUGAUAAGGGAACCCCAAGUGCUCAAGUAUAACUUGGGCUUUUGCCAAGUGUAAAAAGCUUGGCGAAUAAGUGGUGGGUAAGACUGGUGCCAGCAGCCGCUGUAACACCAGCGCCACGAGUGGGAACCAGCUUUAUUUGGCCUAAAGCGUCCGUAGCUGGUCUAGUAAAUCUUUUGUGAAAUCAUAGGGCUUAACCUUAUGGCGAGCAGAGGACACUGCUAGACUCGAGACCGGGAGGAGUUAGAGGUAUUCUGAGGGGAGCGGUAAAAUGCUAUAAUCCUCAGAGGACCACCUGUGGCGAAGGCGUCUAACUAGAACGGUUCUGACAGUGAGGGACGAAAGCUAGGGGAGCGAUCCGGAUUAGGUACCCGAGUAGUCCUAGCCGUAAACGCUGCGAGCAAGGCGUCGCAUGUUCUACGUGAAUAUGCAGUGUCGAAACGAAGGUGUUAAGCUCGCCGCCUGGGAAGUAUGGUCGCAAGACUGAAACUUAAAGGAAUUGGCGGGGGACACUACAAGGGGUGCGGCGUGCGGUUUAAUCUAACUCAACGCAGAGAACCUCACCAGAGGCGACGGCAGGAUGACAGUCAGUCUGAAGGGCUUACUUGACGAGCCGAGAGGUAGUGCAUGGUCGCCGUCAGCUCGUGCUGUAAGGUGUCCUGUUAAGUCAGGCAACGAGCGAGACCUGUACCCAUAAUUGCUAACGACCGGCUUGCCGGGAUCGAGCACUUUAUGGGAACUGCCCUGGAAACAGGGAGGAAGGUGCAGGCUACGGUAGGUCUGUAUGCUCCGAAUCCUCUGGGCAACACGCGCGCAACAAUGGUAAGGACAAUGGGAUGCAACUCCGAAAGGAGAAGCUAAACCUCUAAACCUUAUCCAAGUCUAGAUUGAGGGUUGCAACCCACCCUCAUGACAACGGAAUCCCUAGUAAUCGGACGUCAACAUCGUCCGGUGAAUAUGUCCCUGCUCCUUGCACACACCGCCCGUCAAACCACUCGAGCAGGGUCUAGGUGAGCGCUAGCCAUUUAGUUAGUGCGAAUCUAGGCUCAGUGAGAUGGGUUAAGUCGUCACAAGGUA